AGCAUUUAUCUGUGAAAAUCAGGACAUCUCAGCGAUUUGAAAGUUUGCAAAGUGUGCACAUAUUACUCUAGCUCUCAUUGCUUGCUUGUGAGCAAUUUGUUGAAGUUGCAUGUGGUUGAUUGUCUCGUUGGUGCAAAGGGAAUGUUUCUCUGUGGGGAUGCAAAACUGCUAGCACCAGGUUUAUAAUAUGAAUGCUCACAGAAAUAUUGUAAACGCUUCCUUUUCCACUGCAUUUAUCCACCACUUACGGGGGAGAAGGGGAAUCCGGAAGUAAAGUAAUUUUAAAAAACUUCUGCAAAUAAUAUAUAAUGUUAAUUUAAAAUUUAUUGGGCUGCUGUUAUUGUCCACAGGCUGAGUGGCUGCCAAAAUAUGGAAAGAUCAUACAAGAAGAAUUCAGUCAUCAGUGUAUCCCUGUCUUAUAACCUUACUUAAAGGCCUCUCUUCUGUUCAAGGAGACCAGCCCUGCUGAACUAGUGAAAAUGCACUGUUGACAGACAGCUUUUUAGUUCUUUCAAGGCUUUUCUGGAAUCCUAGGUAUGUUAUCUCUCUUUUUUUUUUUUUUUUUUUUUAAUAGAAAAUCAAGCUCAUUUACCUCUGUCUCCAGUAUGUCCUACAACCUGACUUAGUUUUCAGCACCUUAGGGGAAUGAUUUCUAAUGCAAGCAAAGGUUAAGAUUCUCAAGCAGGGACAACUUUUGUCUGCUGAAUAACUCAGUUGAAGAUUCAGGACUCAUUGCUGUUCUUGAGGAUAUUUUGAAAUUUUAUAGCAACAUUGUAGGAUCAUUAUGUAUGUGCAUGUGUAGAAAUUCUGUUACUUUUUAAGCUAAUAUAUUAUCCAUAGCAUAGCAUAUACAUACACAUAAGUUACAGUGAUGCAAGCAUCAUGUGAUUAAAAAACAUUUUACUGGAUUCAUGUAGGUUGGGGUGACGAAGCCUCAUCAUCAUUAGUAGGCUUCCAGAAACAUCCAGCUCAUUACAACUGUGUAGUUCCUCAAUACAAGUUUUAAAUAACUAUCCUUACUAUUUAUUUUUAAAUGAAGCACUGCCUAAUCACUGCAGCUAGACUGUUUUAGACACUGUACAAAUACACAUUAUGUAAAAGUUGUAAACUUUUAUAUUAUUACAGUAGUGGAUAAACAUCUGUCAAAAUUAAUGACAAAGCUACACUUCGAUUGAAUUUGAAGCUCAGUAUUUGGUUGAAACCAUGCCUAAAAAGAUUUUCCUUGCAUAAUCUGUACUGUCAUUCUAUCUAUUUUGAAAUUCUGAUUACGCAUCCUGUUUGUAUGAGGCUACUUUAGUCAAAAAAGAUGCUAAUAGAAAAAUAAUUUUUUAUAUUCUUUACAUAUUGUUUUGUAAGGAUCUGAAGUUACAAGUACUAUUAUUAACCUCACGUGAAGAGAAAAAAACUCCAAAAUCAUAUUCUGUAUAUAUUUUCUUGACAGAAGGAUUUUACUCAAAAUGAUGCUUCUGGGAAGAUGCACCUUCUUUCACUGUGUUGUGCAUGUUGUCUGGUCUCUUAAGACAGGAAGGCCUGUAGGAAGGUCAGUGCUUGACAGUCUUCCAUGCUUCCUGUAUUCCUGUAGUGCAGCUCAAGCCAACUAAAGGCAACUACCACAGAAUUAAACUUUUGGUAAAAAAGUUCCUUCUUUUAUGCCACGAUGAGAGAAGGUCAGUUGCUAAAAGUGAUGCAUUUUAUAACUUCUGCAUGUGAUUGUUAUUGAUUUCUGAAAUGGCAAUGCCUAUUGACUGAA